CUUAAACUCCGUGGACAAAGCAGUACUGCGAUUAAGAAUACUUCCUUUAGGUAUUACAUGGAGCGAAGAUGAAAACAAAAUGCCAUCGAAUCGUUUCUGAAGACAGUCAGAAUCUUCAGAGGAGCAUCGGAAUUUUGGCCCCUUACCCCCAGAAUGCAGCGUAAGCUGUUACCAAAGAGAGAGACAGACGUGCACUGCAGGUGGAGUGAGAGGAAGCAAUGAAGAGAGAGGAAAAGAAGAAAAACUCAUGCGGGAAUAAGGCUGGAAAAACCCGACAAAGUCAUGCUGAGAGGUCCGGCUGGAGUGGACAGACCUGCUCUGCACUCAUUAAAGCAGCUAAGCACCACCUGCGCUCUGCUCUCAAAGCUCACUAGACU